rnacentral:rRNA from 1 species
GACGAACGCUGGCGGCGUGCUUAACACAUGCAAGUCGAACGGAAAGGCCCUGCUUUUGUGGGGUGCUCGAGUGGCGAACGGGUGAGUAACACGUGAGUAACCUGCCCUUGACUUUGGGAUAACUUCAGGAAACUGGGGCUAAUACCGGAUAGGAGCUCCUGCUGCAUGGUGGGGGUUGGAAAGUUUCGGCGGUUGGGGAUGGACUCGCGGCUUAUCAGCUUGUUGGUGGGGUAAUGGCUUACCAAGGCUUUGACGGGUAGCCGGCCUGAGAGGGUGACCGGCCACAUUGGGACUGAGAUACGGCCCAGACUGCUACGGGAGGCAGCAGUGGGGAAUAUUGCACAAUGGGCGGAAGCCUGAUGCAGCAACGCCGCGUGCGGGAUGACGGCCUUCGGGUUGUAAACCGCUUUCGCCUGUGACGAAGCGUGAGUGACGGUAAUGGGUAAAGAAGCACCGGCUAACUACGUG